rnacentral:tRNA from 1 species
GCGGGUGUAGUUCAAUGGCAGAAUUCCGGCUUCCCAAGCCGAUUACGGGGGUUCGAUUCCCCUCACCCGCU